UACGAAGGGGGCUAGCGUUGUUCGGAAUUACUGGGCGUAAAGCGCGUGUAGGCGGGUCUUUAAGUCAGGGGUGAAAUGCCAGGGCUCAACCUUGGAACUGCCUUUGAUACUGGAGAUCUUGAGUCCGGGAGAGGUGAGUGGAAUUGCGAGUGUAGAGGUGAAAUUCGUAGAUAUUCGCAAGAACACCAGUGGCGAAGGCGGCUCACUGGCCCGGAACUGACGCUGAGACGCGAAAGCGUGGGGAGCAAACAGG
rnacentral:rRNA from 1 species